rnacentral:rRNA from 1 species
GUAGGUGGCAAGCGUUGUCCGGAAUUAUUGGGCGUAAAGCGCGCGCAGGUGGUUCUUUAAGUCUGAUGUGAAAGCCCCCGGCUCAACCGGGGAGGGUCAUUGGAAACUGGGGAACUUGAGUGCAGGAGAGGAAAGUGGAAUUCCACGUGUAGCGGUGAAAUGCGUAGAUAUGUGGAGGAACACCAGUGGCGAAGGCGACUUUCUGGCCUGUAACUGGCACUGAGGCGCGAAAGCGUGGGGAGCAAACAGGGAUUAGAUACCCUGGUAGUCCACGCCGUAAACGAUGAGUGCUAAGUGUUGGGGGGGUUUCCCGCCCCUCAGUGCUGCAGCUAACGCAUUAGGCACUCCGCCUGGGGAUACGGUCGCAAGACUG